AGAUAAUGAGCUUGAAUAAGUUUAUAUUUUGAAAAUAUAAGAUAGAGUUUAUACUAAUUUUAUUAUCUA
rnacentral:tRNA from 1 species